rnacentral:rRNA from 1 species
AUACGGAGGAUCCGAGCGUUAUCCGGAUUUAUUGGGUUUAAAGGGUGCGCAGGCGGCCAUUUAAGUCAGCGGUUAAAUCGUGGGGCUCAACCCCAUUCUGCCGUUGAUACUGGGUGGCUUGAUUGCGGUCGAGGUUGGCGGAAUUCCAGGUGUAGGGGUGAAAUCUGUAGAUAUCUGGAAGAACACCGGUGGCGAAGGCGGGCGUCUAGCCAUGUACUGACGCUGAGGCGCGAAGGUGCGGGGAGCGAACAGUUUUAGAUGCCCUGGUAGUGCGCACAGUAAACGAUGUGCACCCGGUGGCGGGGGGUAGCCCUCGGUACCGAAGCCAAAGCAUUAAGUGCACCGCCUGGGGAGUAUGCUCGCAAGGGUGAAACUUAAAGGAAUUGACGGGG